CUUAUUCAUCCAGCUAGUGCACUACCAUUCUGCAAGCUGAGGAUCACCAAGUUCAGAACUGUGCGUUACUUCCUUCUCUGGGUGUCUCUGAGAGCUGCCAAAAAGCAUAAUGGGCUUUGAAUGCACCUGUAAGAGAUUCCUUUUGGGAGUUUUCUGCUUCCCGUGUCUUCCAUGCCUCUGUUGUUACUGGAAAGAGGAAGACAGAGAAAAAUACAGCCCACCACCUCAACAACCGAUUAGAGCAG